rnacentral:misc_RNA from 1 species
GAAAAUUAGCUCUUAAGAAACAAGAGGCAGCAUCCGGACCAGGAGUAAUUGCUCUUCUUGCUACAGCAACAACUAGCAAUCAGACAACUGAUGAUCAAAACACAAAAGCUGGAGAAUUGCAGGAAAAUAAGGUUGUAUUUACGGAAAUGGAAGAAUUUGUCUGGGGUCUCCAGCUUGAUGAAGAGGAUCAUAAACCAGAAGAAGAUGUCUUUAUGGAUGACGAUGAAGUACCAAAAGAAGAAUAUCUUGAAGAUGUUAAGGAUAAAGAUGGUGGGUGGACUGAAGUCAAAGAUACUGCUGAAGAAGAACCCACUCCUGAGGAUAAUGAGGCAAUAGCUCCAGACGAAACAAUCCACGAAGCUCCUGUUG